rnacentral:rRNA from 1 species
UGUCGUCAGCUCGUGUCGUGAGAUGUUGGGUUAAGUCCCGCAACGAGCGCAACCCUUGUCUCAUGUUGCCAGCACGUGAUGGUGGGGACUCAUGGGAGACUGCCGGGGUCAACUCGGAGGAAGGUGGGGAUGACGUCAAAUCAUCAUGCCCCUUAUGUCCAGGGCUUCACACAUGCUACAAUGGCCGGUACAGA